UAGUUUUGACUUACUAAAAAU
rnacentral:piRNA from 1 species